rnacentral:misc_RNA from 1 species
UCAAAACAGCGGACUUCGGUCCUUGCCGCACCCUUGUCUUUUGCGCACCGUAUUGUUUCCUCGGCGGGCUUGCCUGCCGGUUGGACAUUAUCAAAACCUUUUUGUAGUUGCAAUCAGCGUCAGAAAAACAAUAAUUAUUA